CGCNNNCGGGUGCUAUACUGCAGUCGAGCGACAGAGAAGGAGCUUGCUCCUUCGACGUUAGCGGCGGACGGGUGAGUAACACGUGGGCAACCUACCUUAUAGUUUGGGAUAACUCCGGGAAACCGGGGCUAAUACCGAAUAAUCUGUUUCACCUCAUGGUGAAACACUGAAAGACGGUUUCGGCUGUCGCUAUAGGAUGGGCCCGCGGCGCAUUAGCUAGUUGGUGAGGUAACGGCUCACCAAGGCGACGAUGCGUAGCCGACCUGAGAGGGUGAUCGGCCACACUGGGACUGAGACACGGCCCAGACUCCUACGGGAGGCAGCAGUAGGGAAUCUUCCACAAUGGGCGAAAGCCUGAUGGAGCAACGCCGCGUGAGUGAAGAAGGAUUUCGGUUCGUAAAACUCUGUUGUAAGGGAAGAACAAGUACAGUAGUAACUGGCUGUACCUUGACGGUACCUUAUUAGAAAGCCACGGCUAACUACGUGCCAGCAGCCGCGGUAAUACGUAGGUGGCAAGCGUUGUCCGGAAUUAUUGGGCGUAAAGCGCGCGCAGGUGGUUUCUUAAGUCUGAUGUGAAAGCCCACGGCUCAACCGUGGAGGGUCAUUGGAAACUGGGAGACUUGAGUGCAGAAGAGGAUAGUGGAAUUCCAAGUGUAGCGGUGAAAUGCGUAGAGAUUUGGAGGAACACCAGUGGCGAAGGCGACUAUCUGGUCUGUAACUGACACUGAGGCGCGAAAGCGUGGGGAGCAAACAGGAUUAGAUACCCUGGUAGUCCACGCCGUAAACGAUGAGUGCUAAGUGUUAGGGGGUUUCCGCCCCUUAGUGCUGCAGCUAACGCAUUAAGCACUCCGCCUGGGGGAGUACGGUCGCAAGACUGAAACUCAAAGGAAUUGACGGGGGCCCGCACAAGCGGUGGAGCAUGUGGUUUAUUUCGAAGCAACGCGGAGAACCUUACCAGGUCUUGGACAUCCCGUUGACCACUGUAGAGAUAUGGUUUCCCCUUCGGGGGCAACGAUGACAGGUGGUGCAUGGUUGUCGUCAGCUCGUGUCCGGAAUGUUGGNUAAGUCCCGCAACGACGCAACCCUGGAUCCUAUAUUGCCUCAUUUUACUUGG
rnacentral:rRNA from 1 species